UACGGAGGGUGCGAGCGUUGUCCGGAAUCACUGGGCGUAAAGGGCGCGUAGGCGGCCUUCUAAGUCGAACGUGAAAUCCCCGGGCUCAACCCGGGAACUGCGUCCGAUACUGGAAGGCUUGAAUCCGGGAGAGGGAUGUGGAAUUCCAGGUGUAGCGGUGAAAUGCGUAGAUAUCUGGAGGAACACCGGUGGCGAAGGCGACAUCCUGGACCGGUAUUGACGCUGAGGCGCGAAAGCCAGGGGAGCAAACGGG
rnacentral:rRNA from 1 species